UGGGGAAUCUUGCGCAAUGGCCGAAAGGCUGACGCAGCGACGCCGCGUGCGGGAUGACGGCCUUCGGGUUGUAAACCGCUGUUGCCCGGGACGAACUCCCGUUUUGACGGGAAUGACGGUACCGGGUGAGGAAGCACCGGCUAACUCUGUGCCAGCAGCCGCGGUAAUACAGAGGGUGCGAGCGUUGUCCGGAAUCACUGGGCGUAAAGGGCGCGUAGGCGGUCUGGUAAGCGUGUGGUGAAAGCUCGGGGCUCAACCCCGAGUCGGCCGUGCGAACUGCGAGACUGGAGCAGAUCAGAGGCAGGCGGAAUUCCGGGUGUAGCGGUGGAAUGCGUAGAGAUCCGGAAGAACACCGGUGGCGAAGGCGGCCUGCUGGGAUCUUGCUGACGCUGAGGCGCGACAGCGUGGGGAGCAAACAG
rnacentral:rRNA from 1 species